rnacentral:rRNA from 1 species
GGCUCAGAACGAACGUUAGCGGCGCGCCUAACACAUGCAAGUCGAGCGAGAAAGGGCUUCGGCCCCGGUACAGCGGCGCACGGGUGAGUAACACGUAGGUAAUCUACCCCUGAAUGGUGGAUAACCCUCCGAAAGGAGGGCUAAUACAGCAUAAGACCACGGCUUCUUCGGAAGCUGAGGCCAAAGCGGGCCAAUUCACGAAAGCUCGCGUUUGGGGAUGAGCCUGCGGCCCAUCAGCUAGUUGGCGGUGUAACGGACCACCAAGGCUAAGACGGGUAGCUGGUCUGAGAGGAUGAACAGCCACACUGGAACUGAGACACGGUCCAGACUCCUACGGGAGGCAGCAGUGGGGAAUCUUGCGCAAUGGGCGAAAGCCUGACGCAGCGACGCCGCGUGAGUGAUGAAGGCCUUCGGGUUGUAAAGCUCUGUGGGGAGAGACGAAUAAGUUCCGGCUAAUACCCGGAGCGAUGACGGUAUCUCCUUAGCAAGCACCGGCUAACUCUGUGCCAGCAGCCGCGGUAAGACAGAGGGUGCAAACGUUGUUCGGAAUUACUGGGCGUAAAGCGCGUGUAGGCGGCACGGCAUGUCGGAUGUGAAAUCCCAUGGCUCAACCAUGGAAGUGCACCCGAAACUGCCGAGCUGGAGUCUCGGAGAGGAAGGCGGAAUGCUUGGUGUAGAGGUGAAAUUCGUAGAUAUCAAGCGGAACACCGGUGGCGAAGGCGGCCUUCUGGACGAUGACUGACGCUGAGACGCGAAAGCGUGGGGAGCAAACAGGAUUAGAUACCCUGGUAGUCCACGCUGUAAACGAUGAGUGCUAGGUGUCACGGGCUUUGACCCCUGUGGUGCCGUAGCUAACGCAGUAAGCACUCCGCCUGGGGAGUACGGCCGCAAGGCUA